UACGUAGGGUGCAAGCGUUGUCCGGAAUUAUUGGGCGUAAAGAGCUCGUAGGCGGUUUGUUGCGUCGGCUGUGAAAACCUGAGGCUCAACCUCAGGCCUGCAGUCGAUACGAGCAGACUAGAGUGUUGCAGGGGAGACUGGAAUUCCUGGUGUAGCGGUGAAAUGCGCAGAUAUCAGGAGGAACACCGGUGGCGAAGGCGGGUCUCUGGGCAACAACUGACGCUGAGGAGCGAAAGCGUGGGGAGCAAACAGG
rnacentral:rRNA from 1 species